rnacentral:misc_RNA from 1 species
AACGCACAUUGCACCCUCCAGCAUUCUGGAGGGUAUGCCUGUUCGAGCGUCAUUUCAACCCUCAAGCAUUGCUUGGUAUUGGGUGUCACCUUUCCUGGUGCAUCUCAAAAGUAGUGGCGGCACCUUUCAGUCUCGAGCAGAGUAAAUUUCUUGCUUGUGGGGCUUAAAUGGAGGCUUGCUUAGAACAUCUAUCAAAAGGUUGACCUCGGAUCAGGUAGGGAUACCCGCUGAACUUAA